rnacentral:lncRNA from 1 species
UAUCUAUUUUUAUAAUAUCGCUUAAAGUUGAAUGUCUUACUAAUUCAUUUUAUCUUUUCUCUAUUUGCAUGAAUACUUUGGAACAAAAAUGGAGUCCCGAUUAAGGACUCUCGCAAAAUCGAGUCUCAUAGACUCAACAUUAUCCUCACACUCGCAUGUGGAGUUUUCACUACACCUUUGACCAUUCGAAAUUGCAAGCAAAACAAGUGGUCCUAUCUUGGAGUCACUUAUGGCUACUUACAUUUUGCAUUAUUUGUUUACGUGUUUGUCUUUACAUGUUAUACUUGCUUGUGUGAUUUAGAUAUUUCCAGUUUGGAUUCAUGAUAGUUGACUUAAUAUAGAUAUUUGGAUUUGGG